AUCCUACUUGUGUCCCUACUGACUGCCUUUUUUCCCCUCCCUGCUGAGCCUAAGCUGCUGAUCCUAGAGGUGUGUUAGCCCCAGAACUGCACAAGGAGAGGAAAAUACAGGAAAAGACGUGACCAGAAAUUCCCUGUGGCAGAAAUCGAGGCAUGCUUCCACCAUGACCAGCUGCGAGAGGAAAUUCUAAGGAGAUGACUCUUUGUAUGUAACAAAAUGCAAAUCAAAUUCCAGAAGUACCUCAGAAGGUUUCCGAUCUUCAUCUCUGGAGCACGAAGUCCUACGAUGUCGAGAUCUGGAAUGCUGAGACCAGGCAGACAGACCUAGAAUACAGAAAUAACCAUUUACAGGGUUCUAUGACAAACCUCCAGGAUAAAGUCUUUCAUAUGAACCAGACAAUAAAAGGUACUCAGUUCCUAAGCUUCUUUGACUCUCCUGGUUCUGUUUUGUUUUCGUUCCCUACCUGAGGUGUGCAUGU